rnacentral:misc_RNA from 1 species
GACGGAGGGGGCUAGCGUUGUUCGGAAUUACUGGGCGUAAAGCGCGCGUAGGCGGCAUGCCAAGUUGGGGGUGAAAGCCCGGGGCUCAACUCCGGAACUGCCUUCAAAACUGGCAAGCUAGAGUUCGGAAGAGGAGAGUGGAAUACCCAGUGUAGAGGUGGAAUUCGUAGAUAUUGGGUAGAACACCAGUGGCGAAGGCGACUCUCUGGUCCGAUACUGACGCUGAGGUGCGAAAGCGUGGGGAGCAAACAGG